AUGAAGAGACACCUGGCAGCCCUGCUGUGGCUUCUGUGGGCCCAGGUUGGCUGGGUGAGAGGGCAGAUGGUGGAGCAGAGCCCUUCAGCCCUGAGCCUCCAGGAGGGAAGCAACUCUACCGUGAGAUGCAAUUUUUCUACCGCAGUGUACCGAGUGCAGUGGUUCCGACAGAAUCCUGGUGGUGGCCUCAGCAGUCUAUUUCACUUGACCUCAGAGGCAAAACAGGUUGGAAGGCUGAGCUCCACAAUACAUUCUAAGGACCUGUACAGUACCCUGCGCAUCACAACGUCCUAGUGGAAGACUCAGCCACUUACUUCUGUGCGGCGGAGGCACAGCGCUCCCAGGUGAUGUGCAGCCUGUACCCAAACUGCAGAUGGGCCUGCAGCUCCACCCCUUCCAUACGACAGGCCUGUUGA